CCCUUAGAUGUUCUGGGCUGCACGCGUGCUACAAUGGCGCUUGCAACAAGUCUUGCCAACCCGAUAGGGUGAGCGGAUCUUUGAAGAGGCGUCGUGAUCGGGACAGUUGAUUGCAAUUAUUCGACUCGAACGAGGAAUUCCUUGUAAUCGCGAUUCAUCAUAUCGCGCUGAAUACGUCCCUGCCCUUUGUACACACCGCCCGUCGCUCCUACCGAUUGAGCGAUCCGGUGAAUGUUUUGGACUGGCGUCAGAAGCGGUUCGCUCCUGACACUACGAAAUUUUGUAAACCUUACCGCUUAGAGGAAGGAAAAGUCGUAACA
rnacentral:rRNA from 1 species